rnacentral:rRNA from 1 species
AGAGUUUGAUCCUGGCUCAGGAUGAACGCUGGCGGCAGGCUUAAUACAUGCAAGUCGAACGGUAACAGGCCGGAGCAAUCCGGUGCUGACGAGUGGCGCACGGGUGCGUAACGCGUAUGCAACCUACCUGUAAUUGGAACAUAACGUUGAGAAAUCGGCGCUAAUAUUCCAUGUGGAUAUGAGAUGGCAUCAUUUUAUAUUUAAAGAUUCAUUGAUUGAGGAUGGGCAUGCGUAUCAUUAGUUAGUUGGCGAGGUAACGGCUCACCAAGACUACGAUGAUUAGGGGUUCUGAGAGGAUAUCCCCCCACACUGGAACUGAGACACGGUCCAGACUCCUACGGGAGGCAGCAGUAGGGAAUAUUGGGCAAUGGAGGCAACUCUGACCCAGCCAUGCCGCGUGCAGGAAGACGGUCCUAUGGAUUGUAAACUGCUUUUAUUAUAGAGUAACCUGGGGUACGUGUACCCCACUGCAAGUAUAUAAUGAAUAAGAUCGGCUAACUCCGUGCCAGCAGCCGCGGUAAUACGGAGGAUGCAAGCGUUAUCCGGAUUUAUUGGGUUUAAAGGGUGCGCAGGCGGAUCGUUAAGUCAAUGGUGAAAAUCUGCUGCUUAACAGCAGACUUGCCAAUGAUACUGGCGGACUAGAGUGUAAGAGGUGUAACUGGAAUGUGAUGUGUAGCGGUGAAAUGCUUAGAUAUGUCACAGAACGCCAAUCGUGAAGACAGGUUACAAACUUACAACUGACGCUCAUGCACGAAAGCGUGGGGAUCAAACAGGAUUAGAUACCCUGGUAGUCCACGCUGUAAACGAUGAUCACUCGUUGUUGGGUAGUAAUAUUCAGUGGCUAAGCGAAAGCGAUAAGUGAUCCACCUGGGGAGUACGGAUCGCAAGGUUGAAACUCAAAGGAAUUGACGGGGGCCCGCACAAGCGGAGGAGCAUGUGGUUUAAUUCGAUGAUACGCGAGGAACCUUACCCGGGCUUGAACGUAAGACGACGGUUAUGGAAACAUGACUUCCUACGGGCGUUUUGCGAGGUGCUGCAUGGUUGUCGUCAGCUCGUGCCGUGAGGUGUUAGGUUAAGUCCUGCAACGAGCGCAACCCUUACACUUAGUUGCCAGCAUGUCAUGAUGGGGACUCUAGCGGAACUGCCGGCGCAAGCCGUGAGGAAGGUGGGGAUGACGUCAAA